AUUGAAACGCUGGCGGCGUGCCUCAAACAUGCAAGUCGAGCGGGGCUAUGUAAUAUCGCAAGGUAGAACAUAGCCUAGCGGCGAACGGGUGAGUAACACGUGGGUAACCUGCCUGGAAGACAGGGAUAACGAUUCGAAAGGGUCGCUAAUACCUGAUAAUAUCCUUUCAUCGCAUGGUGAUAGGAAGAAAGGGGAAACCCGCUUUCAGAUGGGCCCGCGUCCCAUCAGCUAGUUGGUAAGGUAAAGGCUUACCAAGGCGACGACGGGUAGCCGGUCUGAGAGGAUGUACGGCCACACUGGGACUGAGAUACGGCCCAGACUCCUACGGGAGGCAGCAGUUGGGAAUCUUAGGCAAUGGACGAAAGUCUGACCUAGCGACGCCGCGUGAGGGAAGAAGGCCUUCGGGUUGUAAACCUCUGUCAUGGGGGAAGAAGGAAGUGACGGUACCCCAAGAGGAAGCCCCUGCUAACUACGUG
rnacentral:rRNA from 1 species